rnacentral:misc_RNA from 1 species
UCCGGUUUGGCACCGGCAGUCUCCCUAGAGUGCCCGGCAUGACCCGCUGGUAACUAGGGACGGGGGUUGCGCUCGUUGCGGGACUUAACCCAACAUCUCACGACACGAGCUGACGACAGCCAUGCAGCACCUGUGCACGGACUCCGAAGAGGGCCUCCCCUUUCUGAGAGGUUUCCCGUGCAUGUCAAGCCCAGGUAAGGUUCUUCGCGUUGCGUCGAAUUAAACCACAUGCUCCACCGCUUGUGCGGGCCCCCGUCAAUUCCUUUGAGUUUCAACCUUGCGGUCGUACUCCCCAGGCGGGGUACUUCCUGCGUUAGCGCCGGCACCCAGAGGGUCGCUCCCCCAGGCACCUAGUACCCAUCGUUUACGGCGUGGACUAC